rnacentral:lncRNA from 1 species
AGAGGGUUGUGGUUAGCUGAAGAGAGGUUCCAACUCACAUACUUUCCACUUAAUUUUCUGCCAGAAGGGACAUAGCUGUUUCAGGCCUGUAUAUGAAUUAGGGGGAGCCAUGCAUGCCCAAACUGCAAACUGUAGAGUCACGAUCGGAGUUACCGAGAAGACCAGAGAUCAGCAAACUCCAACUCUGAUUUCCUGUACGAAAUUAGAAGCAAAGGCAGGGAUGUUCCCUCUGUUUGACUCCGAUGCCUAAAUUAGCAAGGGUUGAGUGUUCGGGAAUGGAUUAUCGAAUAGAAGGGCUGAGGACCUGUUACCUUUUGGGGUUCAAGAAAUCAGGUAUUUAUAGAGGUUUCAUUAGAGUUCGGGCCACAUUAAUGGGACAAGAUGAGAUCUGUUAGUGCAGGAGCAUAGACCUGCAAAAGCCUGUAUGAUGUCAUGUCAAUCACAUCUUAUCGUAAGUGUAUUCGGCUCAUAGAUUCUCCAAACUACAAGAUAAUUCCGCGCAUCGAAAGGUAUCCGAGAUGGAUCGUGUCAGGAAGAUGAUCCUAAGCACUAUACUAACAAAAAAGAUCUGCACUCAUCUUAGGGGCUAACAUCAUUAUUAAUAAGGUUUGUAAUUAAAAUAUGACCAAGUUGCAUGAGAAAUUGUAUCCUAUGUACAAUAGACUCUCAUACUUGUUUAGAACAUGAAAUUUGUAGAUGAAUGUAACGAUCAAUUGUCAUUCCUAAAAAUGAAUAUACAAAGGGGCACC